AACCAUUCUCACCUGCGGCUAGACCUGCGGAGGGAUCAUUACCGAGUUUACAACUCCCAAACCCCUGUGAACAUACCACUUGUUGCCUCGGCGGAUCAGCCCGCUCCCGGUAAAACGGGACGGCCCGCCAGAGGACCCCUAAACUCUGUUUCUAUAUGUAACUUCUGAGUAAAACCAUAAAUAAAUCAAAACUUUUAGCAACGGAUCU
rnacentral:misc_RNA from 1 species